CCCUUAGAUGUCCUGGGCCGCACGCGCGCUACACAGAGUGUCUGAGAUACGAGUCUGCCUGGUCCGGCAAGGUCUAGGUAAUCGCUAAAAGACACAUCAUGCUUGGGAUAGAUUAUUGCAAAUAUUAAUCUUGAACGAGGAAUUCCUAGUAAGCGCAAGUCAACAGCUUGCGUUGAUUACGUCCCUGCCCUUUGUACACACCGCCCGUCGCUACUACUGAUUGGAUGUUUAAGCGAGGUUCUCGAACUGCUAGCGACUUAGCUUCGGUGAGGUCGCAGUGUGGGAAGUGAACCGAGCUUUGGUGUCUAGAGGAAGUAAAAGUCGUAACA
rnacentral:rRNA from 1 species